rnacentral:rRNA from 1 species
AGCGAACGCUGGCGGCAGGCUUAACACAUGCGAGUCGAACGGGCGUAGCAAUACGUCAGUGGCAGACGGGUGAGUAACGCGUGGGAACGUACCUUUUGGUUCGGAACAACCCAGGGAAACUUGGGCUAAUACCGGAUAAGCCCUUACGGGGAAAGAUUUAUCGCCGAAAGAUCGGCCCGCGUCUGAUUAGCUAGUUGGUGUGGUAACGGCGCACCAAGGCGACGAUCAGUAGCUGGUCUGAGAGGAUGAUCAGCCACAUUGGGACUGAGACACGGCCCAAACUCCUACGGGAGGCAGCAGUGGGGAAUAUUGGACAAUGGGCGCAAGCCUGAUCCAGCCAUGCCGCGUGAGUGAUGAAGGCCCUAGGGUUGUAAAGCUCUUUUGUGCGGGGAAGAUAAUGACGGUACCGCAAGAAUAAGCCCCGGCUAACUUCGUGCCAGCCGCCGCAGUAAC